AGCAGCUGGUAUGCUUGAAGAAUGUGUUGAAAAGGUUGGAAAACUCAGCCUUCAGUGCUUCUAGUUGGAAAAGAGCCAGCUGCCACUUAGAAAGAGAGAAGACGCCAUAGGGGAACAGCUCAUAGGAGUUUGCAGCCCCUUUGACACAGCUAGAAGAAGGGAAUGCCUAAUCCAUGUCACACCUCCAGCUCAUACCAGGGCAUGUGGGCCUGAAUUGUCAACAAACUUGGCAAAUCUUCAUCUUUGUCAUGGAUAAGCUCUGAAGCUAUUGUCAAUUAGAGACCACAAGAUAUCAGCAAGUGUCCAGGCUGUACAGUGCUGAGAGUGACCUGGUUUGGGUACCAGACUUCUACAUCUAGCUCUGCCAGGUCUCCAGAUGAAAGGCUGAGCCGUCUUCCAGAUCUGUGCCAGAUCAACCCUAGAGCCUUCUACUAAUGGACAGCAAUGCAGUGCUGGUAGCUCUGUCACUCACCAUGUCCAGGUCUAAGGAUUGGGUUUCUUUAUCAUCGCAUAGGAAAGAAAACUGUGGGAAGGGCAAAAGUGCAAAAUUCCAACAUCAAACACCUCUGAAAUCUGUUUUGACUUUUAUUUUUUGUAUGAUUAGUUCAGAGAAAGAAGUUAAUACAGAAUUAAAACUGGGGGGCACUUUUGGAAAUGUAGAUGCAAACUGAAGACUUCCAGCGUUUUCUCGUGAGAACAAACAUAAAUAUCUUGAGAUGGUAAAGCAG
ensembl:lncRNA